GGAGGUAUGGAGCAGUGGUUUUAAUCCUGGACUACAACUCUGGAGACCAGGGUUCAAAUCCCAGCUUGGCCA